rnacentral:tRNA from 1 species
GGGGUUGUAGCUUAGUGGUAGAGCACUUGCCUCACAUGUGUGAGGCACUGGGUUCAAUCCUCAACACCA